GAUGAACGCUGGCGGCGUGCUUAACACAUGCAAGUCGAACGAUGAAGCCCAGCUUGCUGGGUGGAUUAGUGGCGAACGGGUGAGUAACACGUGAGUAACCUGCCCUUGACUCUGGGAUAAGCCCGGGAAACUGGGUCUAAUACCGGAUAGGAGCGCCUGUCGCAUGACGGGUGUUGGAAAGAUUUUUCGGUCAUGGAUGGACUCGCGGCCUAUCAGCUUGUUGGUGAGGUAAUGGCUCACCAAGGCGACGACGGGUAGCCGGCCUGAGAGGGUGACCGGCCACACUGGGACUGAGACACGGCCCAGACUCCUACGGGAGGCAGCAGUGGGGAAUAUUGCACAAUGGGCGGAAGCCUGAUGCAGCGACGCCCUCGUGAGGGAUGACGGGCCUUUCGGGUUGUACUACCUCUUUUCAAGUAAGGGAAAGAA
rnacentral:rRNA from 1 species